rnacentral:rRNA from 1 species
UACGAAGGGGGCUAGCGUUGUCCGGAAUCACUGGGCGUAAAGGGCGCGUAGGCGGCUUGGCAAGUCGAUGGUGAAAGCUCGUGGCUCAACUACGAGUCGGCCAUUGAUACUGCUAGGCUUGAGUCGACUAGAGGCAGAUGGAAUUCCGGGUGUAGCGGUGGAAUGCGUAGAGAUCCGGAAGAACACCGGUGGCGAAGGCGGUCUGCUGGGGUCGAACUGACGCUGAGGCGCGACAGCGUGGGGAGCAAACAGG